GACGAACGCUGGCGGCGUGCUUAACACAUGCAAGUCGAACGAAGAGCGAUGGAAGCUUGCUUCUAUCAAUCUUAGUGGCGAACGGGUGAGUAACGCGUAAUCAACCUGCCCUUCAGAGGGGGACAACAGUUGGAAACGACUGCUAAUACCGCAUACGAUCUAAUCUCGGCAUCGAGGAUAGAUGAAAGGUGGCCUCUACAUGUAAGCUAUCACUGAAGGAGGGGAUUGCGUCUGAUUAGCUAGUUGGAGGGGUAACGGCCCACCAAGGCGAUGAUCAGUAGCCGGUCUGAGAGGAUGAACGGCCACAUUGGGACUGAGACACGGCCCAGACUCCUACGGGAGGCAGCAGUGGGGAAUCUUCCGCAAUGGACGAAAGUCUGACGGAGCAACGCCGCGUGAGCGAUGACGGCCUUCGGGUUGUAAAGCUCUGUUAAUCGGGACGAAAGGCCUCCUUGCGAAUAGUGAGAAGGAUUGACGGUACCGGAAUAGAAAGCCACGGCUAACUACGUG
rnacentral:rRNA from 1 species